GAUGAACGCUGGCGGCGUGCCUAAUACAUGCAAGUCGAGCGAACAGACGAGGAGCUUGCUCCCCUGACGUUAGCGGCGGACGGGUGAGUAACACGUGGAUAACCUACCUAUAAGACUGGGAUAACUUCGGGAAACCGGAGCUAAUACCGGAUAAUAUAUUGAACCGCAUGGUUCAAUAGUGAAAGACGGUUUUGCUGUCACUUAUAGAUGGAUCCGCGCCGCAUUAGCUAGUUGGUAAGAUAACGGCUUACCAAGGCAACGAUGCGUAGCCGACCUGAGAGGGUGAUCGGCCACACUGGAACUGAGACACGGUCCAGACUCCUACGGGAGGCAGCAGUAGGGAAUCUUCCGCAAUGGGCGAAAGCCUGACGGAGCAACGCCGCGUGAGUGAUGAAGGUCUUCGGAUCGUAAAACUCUGUUAUUAGGGAAGAACAAAUGUGUAAGUAACUAUGCACGUCUUGACGGUACCUAAUCAGAAAGCCACGGCUAACUACGUG
rnacentral:rRNA from 1 species